GGAGGAUACAGCUCAGUGGUAGAGCACGUGCUUAGCAUGCACAGGGUCCUGGGUUCGAUCCCCAGCACCUCCA
rnacentral:tRNA from 1 species